GGAUCCAGACUUUGAUUCUGGCUCAGGAUGAACGCUAGCUACAGGCUUAACACAUGCAAGUCGAGGGGCAGCAUGACGAUAGCUUGCUAUUGUUGCUGGCGACCGGCGCACGGGUGAGUAACGCGUAUCCAACCUGCCCUUGUCCAUCGGAUAACCCGUCGAAAGGCGGCCUAACACGAUAUGCAGUUCUCAGCAGGCAUCUAACGAGAACGAAAUGUGAAGGAGAAGGAUGGGGAUGCGUCUGAUUAGCUUGUUGGUGGGGUAACGGCCCACCAAGGCGACGAUCCGUAGGGGUUCUGAGAGGAAGGUCCCCCACAUUGGAACUGAGACACGGUCCAAACUCCUACGGGAGGCAGCAGUGAGGAAUAUUGGUCAAUGGGCGAGAGCCUGAACCAGCCAAGUAGCGUGCAGGAAGACGGCCCUAUGGGUUGUAAACUGCUUUUAUGUGGGGAUAAAGUGAGCCACGUGUGGCUUAUUGCAGGUACCGCAUGAAUAAGGACCGGCUAAUUCCGUGCCAGCAGCCGCGGUAAUACGGAAGGUCCGGGCGUUAUCCGGAUUUAUUGGGUUUAAAGGGAGCGUAGGCCGUCUGAUAAGCGUGUUGUGAAAUGUCGGGGCUCAACCUGGGCAUUGCAGCGCGAACUGUCAGACUUGAGUGCGCGGGAAGUAGGCGGAAUUCGUCGUGUAGCGGUGAAAUGCUUAGAUAUGACGAAGAACUCCGAUUGCGAAGGCAGCCUGCUGUAGCGCAACUGACGCUGAAGCUCGAAAGCGUGGGUAUCGAACAGGAUUAGAUACCCUGGUAGUCCACGCGGUAAACGAUGGAUGCUCGCUGUUUGCGUCUGACGUAAGCGGCCAAGCGAAAGCGUUAAGCAUCCCACCUGGGGAGUACGCCGGCAACGGUGCAACUCAAAGGAAUUGACGG
rnacentral:rRNA from 1 species